GGAACUCGCAACGGCUCAUUAAAACAGUUAUAAUCUACUUGACAUUUUUUUCUAUAAGGAUAACUACGGAAAAGCUGUAGCUAAUACUUGCUUUAAUGCUCUCGACGAAUGUCUUGGGCAUGUACUUGUUAAGCCUUUAUAAGAAAAAAGUUUAAUAACUUAAGGAAUGAUAACAAAGAAGUGACACAUAGAAGGACCUGCGCCCAUUUAUAGUGUGUAUCAAUCGAGU
rnacentral:rRNA from 1 species